rnacentral:rRNA from 1 species
UGGGGAAUAUUGGACAAUGGGCGCAAGCCUGAUCCAGCCAUGCCGCGUGAGGGAUGAAGGCCCUAGGGUUGUAAAGCUCUUUCACCGGUGAAGAUAAUGACGGUAACCGGAGAAGAAGCCCCGGCUAACUUCGUGCCAGCAGCCGCGGUAAUACGAAGGGGGCUAGCGUUGUUCGGAUUUACUGGGCGUAAAGCGCACGUAGGCGGACUAUUAAGUCAGGGGUGAAAUCCCGGGGCUCAACCCCGGAACUGCCUUUGAUACUGGUAGUCUUGAGUUCGGGAGAGGUGGGUGGAAUUCCGAGUGUAGAGGUGAAAUGCGUAGAUAUUCGGAGGAACACCAGUGGCGAAGGCGGCUCACUGGCUCGAUACUGACGCUGAGGUGCGAAAGCGUGGGGAGCAAACAGG